rnacentral:piRNA from 1 species
UGCCAGGAACCUUGUUGUCCUGUUUUCAAAA